rnacentral:rRNA from 1 species
UACGUAGGGGUGCGAGCGUUGUCCGGAAUUACUGGGCGUAAAGAGCUCGUAGGCGGUUUGUCGCGUCCGUCCGUGAAAACUUUGGGGCGUCAACCCCAAGCUUGCGGGCGAUGACGGGCAGACUUGAGUACUGCAGGGAGACUGGAAUUCCUGGUGUAGCGGUGAAAUGCGCAGAUAUCAGGAGGAACACCGGUGGCGAAGGCGGGUCUCUGGGCAGUAACUGACGCUGAGGAGCGAAAGCGUGGGUAGCAAACA